UCCCUUUCUCCCAUUUCACGCCUCUCUCUCUUUUUUAAAUUGUAUUCUUUUUCUUCUUGCCUUGCAUUACAUCUUCUCAUUUCACAGAACUAGCAUCAUCCGUCAGUACCAUAUUGACAUACCUAUAGUUACCGCGAGCGACUUCUGGUGGAUUACGUGUCCAGUCGUCCACGGCCAAGAGGGAAAAUUGCUUGUCAAUUUGAGUUUGGAUUUCUACGACUAGGAGGAGGAGAGCAGGUGGCCAGACAAACACCAGUCCAAUUGAAUAUUCUUCACCCAUUUCCAGAAACUACACUUGUAUCCGAUCGUUUUGAGAGUUCACAGGAGUCUUGUUUCGACCUGCCUUGAGGCAAUGUUCAAUUUGCUAGAGGUUCGAUUGAUUUCUGCUACUAUACUCGCCUUCAUAAUAGUAAAAAUCUGUAGACGUGGUUGUUCUUGGUUCCAGUUUGUACCUAGGAUGGGAUGCGGAAACAUUUAUGGAAGGCGGGUGAGAGUGUUUGCUGUGGCUUCAAUGAUCUACCUGGAUUAUAAGGCUGUAGAGCAAAUAAAUAAAUGGACCAUCGACUCCAAAAGAGCUGCACUGUGGGAUAAGACUCAUGAACGCAAUGCUAAGCGUCUUCUCAACUUGAUCAUAGAAUUGGAAGGUUUGUGGGUAAAACUUGGACAGUACUUAUCCACACGUGCUGAUGUUUUUCCUUAUGCAUAUAUAUCAAUUCUCAAGCAGUUACAGGACUCUCUUCCUCCUCGUCCCGUGCAAGAGGUUUGUCAUACUAUAGAGAAUGAAUUGGGGAAAUCCGUGGAUGAUCUUUUCUCAUAUUUUAAUCGAACUCCUUUGGCAACAGCAUCAAUUGCACAAGUCCAUCGUGCAACGCUUAUUAAUGGGAAGGAGGUGGUCGUUAAAGUUCAACAUGAGGGCAUUAAGUCAGUGAUAUUGGAGGACUUAAAGAAUGCCAAGUCAAUUGUUGACUGGAUAGCGUGGGCAGAACCACAGUAUGACUUUAAUCCCAUCAUGGAUGAAUGGUGCAAAGAAGUUCCGAAAGAACUUGACUUCAAUAUUGAAGCCGAGAAUACGAGAACCGUUGCCAGUAAUCUUGGCUGUAGAAAGAACAAUGACGAUAACAAGCUUGCAAAAUCAGUGGAUGUUCUGAUUCCAGAGGUUAUUCAGUCAACUGAAAAGGUCCUAAUUUUAGAGUAUAUGGAUGGGAUUC
rnacentral:misc_RNA from 1 species